UCUCUCAACAGUACAAGUGUGUGUUCGUUCAGACGGUCCGUUAACGGAAAGUGAACCAAGCUAAGGAAAAUAUUGAAUAAAAAAAUACAUUUUUGAAAUUAUCAAAGCAAGACGGAAUAAAGCACCACAGUGAGGAUAGAUUUUUUGGUGGCAAGCUAUUGCGGAAAAUCAAAUGGAAAUAGCUGUUCUAAUUAAAGUGGAUAAAUAUUAAAAAAAGAAGUGGCAACCACUUCCAACAUCAAAACAACAAUGUUGUUCUCGUAAAAAAAAGAUAAACAACAGCUGAGGUGGGAGAAUACAAACAGCUAACCCUGCUAACUAGUGUGGGUGUUCAGAAAAAGAGUGCGCCAACAACAAAAAUAACAAAUGUGUUAGUGAGAGUGAAACUAAGAGAAUAACAAUUGCACAGUGUCUCACAGCUGUGUUACAAUUCAACGAAUGUGUGUGAAGUGGAUUGAAAACCCAGUAAACAAUUUUUUCCGACUGCUCUGAUUUUAGAUUUUUUUCCGAAAUUUCUGACGUUUUUUUCAGAAAUUUCUGAUAGAAAUUGGUCCGAUUUUCUAAACGUUUUUUUUUAGAAUUUCUGCACAUUUUCCUGUGUUUUUAAGCGAAAAAAAACUCGAAAAAUGUACAAACGGAGAGAGUAGAUUGUCUAUUGCUCUGGCAUAUUCUCUUCCACAUGUAAACGGAUGGUGGUGGUUUGACACAUUCUCUCCCAUAGUAGUUGUUGUUGUGAUCAUUCAUUUCAAGAUCUCAACAACAACAAAGCGCAAAGCAAAAAUGCUAUUUGUUAUUGUUAUUGUGAACUGUUAGAUUUUCCGUUGUAAAAAUGUGCGUUUUGUUGUUGUUGUGAAUCAGCCUCUUUCUCUUUCGUUCCCAAAAAAAUAUGAUGGAAAAAAAUUGCAAAAACAACUACAUACCGGUUUUCUGUGUGCACUGCUUUUUAUUUUUAGUUCUUGUUUAGCAGUUGAAACAGAUACAGCAGAUACAGUGAAUUACAAAAAUUAUAUAUAUGUAUAUAAUAACAACAAAUAAUUGAAUUAUCUGUUAUCUGUUCAACUCUUUUGUGCAUUAAAAUACUGUAUGUUAUGUUCCUAAUAAAAAUAAUAUUUAUAAUGUAAAUGUAUUAUAUAUGUAAUAUUUAAACUACAUUUUUACGAAACCCGAAAUAAAUUGUUUGUUUUUUAAAUAAAUAUGUGUUUUUUUUUUCAUUUUUAAGUGGUGUGACGAUUUUUUUCGAUAUUUCUUCCGAAUUCUGAACGAUUUCUUUCAGAAAAUCGGAACUUUCUCCCGAAUUCUGAGCGUUUUUUUUUUUUUUU